CUCCUUUCCCUGGCAGGUCAGACCCCGUGGGAGAGCUCACCAUGGCCUGGGCCCUGCUUUCCUUGGCACUUCUCCACUUCUGCACAUGGGCCUCUUCACAGCCUGCCUUGACUCAGCCGCCCUCCCUGUCCGCGCCUCUGGGGCAAACUGCAAGAAUCUCCUGCGACAGAAGUGGUGGGAGCAGCUGGUCUGGUUUCAGCUGGUUACAGCAGAAACCGGGUCAGGCCCCUCGCCUGCUGAUCUAUGGUAGCAGCAGCAGGGCAGACGGGGUCCCGGACCGGUUCGCCGGUACCCGCUCUGGCAACACCGGCCAUUUGACCAUCGCAAAUCUGCAGGCCGACGAUGAGGGUGACUAUUACUGUGCUGCCGGGGAGAGCAGCAGCAGCACGUUACACAGUGGUAAAUCUGGAUGGGGAACUGAGACAAAAACUGGCACUCCUCCUCUCCAGGGUGCUGCGCCACGAUACUUGGCUUGA